rnacentral:rRNA from 1 species
GAUGAACGCUAGCGGGAGGCCUAACACAUGCAAGCCGAGCGGUAGAGAUUCUUCGGAAUCUUGAGAGCGGCGUACGGUGCGGAACACGUGUGCAACCUACCUUUAUCUGGAGGAUAGCCUUUCGAAAGGAAGAUUAAUACUCCAUAAUAUAUUGAUUGGCAUCAAUUGAUAUUGAAAGCUCCGGCGGAUAGAGAUGGGCACGCGCAAGAUUAGUUAGUUGGUGAGGUAACGGCUCACCAAGACGAUGAUCUUUAGGGGGCCUGAGAGGGUGAUCCCCCACACUGGUACUGAGACACGGACCAGACUCCUACGGGAGGCAGCAGUGAGGAAUAUUGGUCAAUGGGUGCAAGCCUGAAUCAGCCAUCCCGCGUGAAGGACGACUGCCCUAUGGGUUGUAAACUUCUUUUGUAUAGGGAUAAACCUACCCUCGUGAGGUAGCUGAAGGUACUAUACGAAUAAGCACCGGCUAACUCCGUGCCAGCAGCCGCGGU